GACAGACCUUGCCAGGGACAACUUCGAAAGGCCAUGUGCUCGUCCCCCUUAGGAAGAGGGAGAGAUCCCUGCUGCUCGGUUUUGUUCCAAUGGUCUGUUCAGCCGGCGAUGCCCGUUUCCCCAAAGGCUGCCCCUCAUUAGCAUGAACGGGGGUGGGGGUGUGGAGCAGGGGUGGGGGGAGAGAAAGCAAGCCAAAGCCCUGGCUCAUGUUAGAGCCUGGGAACCCUGUCUACAAAAAUGACAGCUAGAGCCCUCUGGCUUCUCUGUUUGAUCGUGGGAUCAUCCCCCGAAGCCCCGGUGGCGGAGAGAAAAGCCUCGCCGCCACACAACAGAAAGCCCGACCCCAGCGGCGGCGCGAGCACGGAGGAGACACCCAGACCCCAGGUGCAGCAGGUCCCGGAGGCCCCGCGACGGCCGCG
rnacentral:lncRNA from 1 species